CCUACGGGAGGCAGCAGUAGGGAAUCUUCCGCAAUGGACGCAAGUCUGACGGAGCGACGCCGCGUGAGCGAUGAAGGUCUUCGGAUCGUAAAGCUCUGUUGUUAGGGAAGAACAAGUAUCGGAGUAACUGCCGGUACCCUGACGGUACCUAACCAGAAAGCCCCGGCUAACUACGUGCCAGCAGCCGCGGUAAU
rnacentral:rRNA from 2 species